CAGACUUAGAGAGAAGGCGGCGAGAGUCUCCUAAGCUCCAGAAGCGGAGCUCGCUAUUCACCAAAGCGGUUUGCGCCGCCGCCGUGACGUCAAUGCCAUAGGGCGCCCGUGGGCUUUACGCCGCUGGCGCAAAGGCGUUGCUCUUUGCCUGCUGGGGAGGAGAGGGACAGAAAGAGGCUUAAAGAGACAACAGCGAGCCAUGGAAGGGCUGGGGGGAAAGAGACCUUUGGGUCCCCACCCUUGAAGAGCCCGGACGGGGGGAAAGAAGCUCAGUUGCUAAUAAAAAUGUCGAAGAGUCCUGGAUGCAGGGUUUUACCUCAUUUUAAUUUGAAGAGAAACACUGAAGUCCUAGGUCCAUGAUGGCGAACCUAUGGUACAUGUGCCG
rnacentral:lncRNA from 1 species